UCCAAGCUUCCCACGUAUUAAGCUCUUUCGAGGCUUUAUUAUCUGGCGCAACGCGGGUGUAGUAACACGGUGGGCAAUCUGCCCCUGCACGUCGUGAAUACAAGCCCCUGAGAAACGCGGGAUCUAAGUACCGUGAUUAUGACCGUUCUUGGGCAUCCUUGACGGUUGUAAAGCUCCGGCGGUGCAAGAUGAGCCCGCAGCCUAUCAGCUUGUUGGUGAGGUAAUGGCUCACCAAGGCGACGACGGGUAGCCGGCCUGAGAGGGCGACCGGCCACACUGUGACUGAGCCAGUCUCAAAUUUAUAUACGGGAGGCAGCAGUGGGGAAUAUUGCACAAUGGGCGAAAGCCUGAUGCAGCGACGCCGCGUGAGGGAUGACGGCCUUCGGGUUGUAAACCUCUUUCAGCAGGGAAGAAGCGAAAGUGACGGUACCUGCAGAAGAAGCGCCGGCUAACUACGUGCCAGCAGCCGCGGUAAUACGUAGGGCGCAAGCGUUGUCCGGAAUUAUUGGGCGUAAAGAGCUCGUAGGCGGCUUGUCACGUCGGUUGUGAAAGCCCGGGGCUUAACCCCGGGUCUGCAGUCGAUACGGGCAGGCUAGAGUUCGGUAGGGGAGAUCGGAAUUCCUGGUGUAGCGGUGAAAUGCGCAGAUAUCAGGAGGAACACCGGUGGCGAAGGCGGAUCUCUGGGCCGAUACUGACGCUGAGGAGCGAAAGCGUGGGGAGCGAACAGGAUUAGAUACCCUGGUAGUCCACGCCGUAAACGGUGGGCACUAGGUGUGGGCAACAUUCCACGUUGUCCGUGCCGCAGCUAACGCAUUAAGUGCCCCGCCUGGGGAGUACGGCCGCAAGGCUAAAACUCAAAGGAAUUGACGGGGGCCCGCACAAGCGGCGGAGCAUGUGGCUUAAUUCGACGCAACGCGAAGAACCUUACCAAGGCUUGACAUACACCGGAAACGUCUGGAGACAGGCGCCCCCUUGUGGUCGGUGUACAGGUGGUGCAUGGCUGUCGUCAGCUCGUGUCGUGAGAUGUUGGGUUAAGUCCCGCAACGAGCGCAACCCUUGUCCCGUGUUGCCAGCAGGCCCUUGUGGUGCUGGGGACUCACGGGAGACCGCCGGGGUCAACUCGGAGGAAGGUGGGGACGACGUCAAGUCAUCAUGCCCCUUAUGUCUUGGGCUGCACACGUGCUACAAUGGCCGGUACAAUGAGCUGCGAUACCGUGAGGUGGAGCGAAUCUCAAAAAGCCGGUCUCAGUUCGGAUUGGGGUCUGCAACUCGACCCCAUGAAGUCGGAGUCGCUAGUAAUCGCAGAUCAGCAUUGCUGCGGUGAAUACGUUCCCGGGCCUUGUACACACCGCCCGUCACGUCACGAAAGUCGGUAACAUCGGAAGCCGGUGGCCCAACCCUUUGUGUAGAACUU
rnacentral:rRNA from 1 species